rnacentral:rRNA from 1 species
ACAUUGUCUCAUGAACACAAUAUGAGAUAAUACCUGCCCAGUGACACAAUGUUCAACGGCCGCGGUAUCCUAACCGUGCAAAGGUAGCAUAAUCACUUGCCUAUUAAUUGUAGGCUAGAAUGAAGGGGUUUACGAAAUAAAAACUGUCUCAAUUAAUUAACUAAAAAUUACUCUCUACCUGAAGAAGGUGGAUAAUCUCGAAGGACAAGAAGACCCUAUAGAGCUUAAUUUUAAUUAUAGAACCACCCUAUAAAAAUAUUCGGUUGGGGCGACCCAGGGCUAAAUAAUCACCCACUAAAUAAAAGAUAUAUAAAUCAAAUAAGUGACCCUUUAAAGAUCAUAAAAACAAGCUACCUUAGGGAUAACAGGCUAAUCCCACUCAAGAGUCCUUAUCAACAGUGGGGUUUGGCACCUCGAUGUUGGCUUAGGGUAUCUAUAUAGCGCAAAAGUUAUAUAAAGAUGGUUUGUUCAACCAAUAAUACCCUACGUGAU